AUCACGUGUUUGACGCUCUCGAACACAGCUGUCACGCACAUGCGCAAACGAUGGUCUAAUACAAUUGCAAUUUGACGAAGCAUUGCAUCACCCUCCAAUUUUAAACAAGGACCAAGCGGCCAAAUAUGUAAAUGACUAUGUUAUAUAUUUGACAGAAAUAGUUUAAUAUAUCUGGACUCUGAGCCAGGGCGUCGAAAGGGGUUACAUUCACAUCGCUUGGAUUGAGCAUAUGAGGGCUAAAUGUUAAAGCAAUUGCCACCUAUCCAACAAUUUCAUUAGAUAACGAAUCUAAGUAACGUCUUCAUUCAAUGGUUCGUUGGUUUGAUCUUUACAGUAGACAACAUUAUUGUAUACAUUGUAGCCUAUGGCAGGCUUGUAGACCUAAUCUCGUGUGCGUUAACAGGAUUGGUCCAGUUUUAUUCUAGUGAAGGCACCAGACUAAGGGUUAAAGGGCACCAAACUGAAAACAGAAAAGGGCCACUUUACAGGCCAGUGCAUUCUUUAUGGGACUGUUGAGUACAACACAUUUGGCCUGGUCCUGGAGAGCCCCAGCCAUCUCUCCCUCCGCUACUCUGUGUAAGCCAUCUCUGUACCUGUGGCAAUCUACUGGUUCUGCACCAGCUGUGUGGAAGAGAAGGUCAAGAGCUCCCAUCCUGCAUCCUCAGGGAAAGACUGUGGCUGAAUGUCACUCUGGGCAUGUGUGUGAAGAUAUUGUUCUUACUGGCGGUGUCAGGGACCGCCUCUUUCUGUCUGCCCUUCAAAACGUGCCCUCCAUAACCAGGUGAGAUGGCUGCCUUGUUUUUCCAUCUUCUCCCAUAUCACCUCUGUGCUCAGUGCCCUCUUGUCUCUCAUACUGUAUAUGAAAUGUGAAAUAUUUUAUGCUGUUCUUUUAUAUCUGGAGGACUUCUUUAAUUUCAGUCGUGAUGAAGCAGACCAUAAAACCUGAGUCAGUCCCUUCGAUGGGAAUCAGUUCUACACAGGCGUGUAUAAUGCAGAGAGGUCUGCCCUGACACUAUCCAUAUCAUGAUGACACAUCAAAACGCUGUUGCCUUAUUAGACCACAGAUACUUUUUUAUAGCCCUUGUAUUGACAUUUUUAUUUAAAGCCAUAUUGUAUUCUUCAUCUGUCCUCUAUUUCUUUGUCUUUCCCAGAAGUCUGUGUGGGUGAACUUCUUCUUCUGGGUGCUGAUCGUGGCGGUGGUGUUUGUCCAGAAACAUCCGGGGUCAGGGUCAGAAUGGAACACGUCUGAAACAGAACUCUUCUUCCACCGACCUGUCUGACCCCACUGACCUAACCUAUAGCCCAAUGGGUGCCAUUAUGUGUCUUUGGAUCCAGUUCCCUGCAAGCAAGAACCUAUUAUUGGCCCAAGAUCAAAUAACAGGGGCUUGUAAAACAGGAUGUUUCGGUCAUCAAUGGGGCAACCUAACAACAACGUGUUUUCACUAUGGAAUAGUGGGAAGUACAAUUAACUUUGGAAGUAACCUCUUUCAUUUUUGUAUACUUAAAUCCAUUAGUUACACAAUUCAGUCCCUUCCUGAUAUAUAGGAUGAUCUGUUCAAAUUAUACUGUACUGAUAUGUACGUCUGUGAAAGACAAAACAUUUCCUGUGAAGUGUAUCGUCUACAUUUAUUUAUAUAUAUAUAUAUUAUAUAUAUAAAUAAAUAAAUGUAGAAGAUACACUUCAGAUACACAUAUAUAUAUACACACAUUUAAAACAAUUAUUGUCAUAAUCUUUAUUUGAUUAUUAUUAAUUAAGUACAGAUCAUUACUAGUUAUUUUCUAGUAUUGAAUGAGUUACAAUUUUACAUUUUAUUAAAAAAAAAUUGCAAUUGAAAAAUUAAAUCCAUCACAACCUUUAUAAAUGGCAUUAACUACAGUCUUCAGGCCCAACCACUUCAUAAUUCUGUGCCUCCUCUCGCCAUCCAUCCAUCCCUCUCCUCUCUGCCCUUUUCUUCAAGCACUCUCUCCAUCUUUUACAAUUGCUUGCUGAGUUUGCGAGCUUGUCUUUCUUUUGUUUCAAUGGGGCCUUGGUGUCCAGGAGCUGCUCCAGCUGCCUGCGUAUGUUGGAUAUGUCUAGCUGAGGUGACCUCACAGGGGCCAGCUGGGUGCUCUGCACCUUGCAUUGGGUCCUAAGCCGUGCUGCCUCCACCAACAGGAUCUCCAUGUUCCUCACAACAGAAUCCACCUACUCCUGAGACAUUUUAUGGACUGGGGGAAAGUGAAAUAUUACAGGACAAAUGGGGCACAAAACGCACACUAGUCUGGAAUUUACAUCAAGAAGAGCAUAAAACAUCUGACAUGGAUUUGCACUGAGGUGUACCCUAGUGAAUCAAAACUAUCUUAAAACCACUUGAUAAGAUAUUAGCCACCCUCCUGUAAAUGUUAAUAAAGACUGAAAUGUUCAUGGUGGCAGCAUCAGUCUGAUUCAUCGGCCCCUGAGACAACUGCAAGUAGCUGUCAUGAGUUGGCCUGGGAGUAGGUUUAUGACAGUCAUAAAUACCUCUUCCCCCCUUUUUCCUCUCUCUACCCUACUGAUGUGACAUUAGAAAACCCCCUGGGUUAACAUAGAGAUUCUGGGAACAUCAGAAGGUGGGGGGAAAUGAACUAUAUUCUGGUAAUCCGACCAAUUGAACAUAAGCGGUGGUACUUAAUGAAUAUGAUGUCAGUUCGGUUGUCAUCUGAUACAUUCUCAUCAAUGAUAGAAUGACAAACUCUACAGUGGAAAGUCUACACAUCAGAGGUAUCGGAUUCACAUGGAAUUGUUGUUCAAUUUAAAUGUUUGAAUAUGAAAUUAUUCGUGAUGGGAUGAAAUGUGAUUUUAGCUUCUAAAAUGUGUGAAUUGGGUUUUCAUGAGUGAAUUAGGCCCAACUCAGUGGCCCACGUGAAGAGACAUAGGUUGUAAAUUAUGAAACACACCCCUCUUCUCCCUCCACUAUAUAAGCCCUUGACGAAAAUGUAACCUCCUGUUCCGAGGAUGUGAGGACGACGGUCCAUUCGUUAAAAGGACUAACCUGUCAACUACAGAACUAAGCCAACCUCAGCAUGAGCUUUGGUUGCGAAUGGUAUGAACUUUGAACUCUUAUUCACUACAGAAGUGAUACGUCCUAGCCAUUGAGUUAGCAACAGCAGCUGCAAACGUAAAUUAGGAUAGGACAGACAGAGUAUCCCGUCUACCACACAACGACGUUACUACAACGUAUCCAAUUUACCAGCAGAGACAUUCUUCAAAGGAAGGGCAACACGGCCUUCCAUCUACCACCAACCUACCGAAGCGCAGCUCAGAGUAAAUAUUUAUUGCAUUUUCCUUUUCCAAAUGGGCGAUAAUUUAGAAUGCAUAAGAUACUGUAUUUACGAAAGCACAGCUUCGCCCUUUGUUCCUCAGUCUUCCCGCUCUUUCACUCAAACCCAGACCCUUUUCUUUUGUGUAACCAGCUGUUAUAUCUGUUCCGCCCGCUAGGGACGUUUUCCUUUAUGACAUAAUUUGUAAUCAAGGUAUGAUUCAUUCUGUGUAUUUGUAAUUCUGUGUGAUUAGUUAGGUAUGUAGUAAAUAAAUAAUUAAACCUAA